CCUACGGGAGGCAGCAGUGGGGAAUAUUGGGCAAUGGGCGCAAGCCUGACCCAGCAACGCCGCGUGAAGGAAGAAGGCUUUCGGGUUGUAAACUUCUUUUCUCAGGGACGAAGCAAGUGACGGUACCUGAGGAAUAAGCCACGGCUAACUACGUGCCAGCAGCCGCGGUAAUACGUAGGUGGCAAGCAUUAUCCGGAUUUACUGGGUGUAAAGGGCGUGUAGGCGGGAAAGCAAGUCAGAUGUGAAAACCAUGGGCUCAACCUGUGGCCUGCAUUUGAAACUGUUUUUCUUGAGUACUGGAGAGGCAGACGGAAUUCCUAGUGUAGCGGUGAAAUGCGGAGAUAUUAGGAAGAACACCAGUGGCGAAGGCGGUCUGCUGGACAGCAACUGACGCUGAGGCGCGAAAGCGUGGGGAGCAAACAGGAUUAGAUACCCCUGUAGUC
rnacentral:rRNA from 1 species